GUGUCAGCCGCCGCGGUAAUACAGAGGGUGCGAGCGUUAAUCGGAAUUACUGGGUGUAAAGGGCGCGUAGGCGGCAAGAUGUGUGUGAUGUGAAAGCCCCGGGCUUAACCUGGGAAGUGCAUUGCAAACUGUCUGGCUAGAGUAUAUGAGAGGGUGGCGGAAUUUCCGGUGUAGCGGUGAAAUGCGUAGAGAUCGGAAGGAACGUCAAUGGCGAAGGCAGCCACCUGGCAUAAUACUGACGCUGAGGCGCGAAAGCGUGGGGAGCGAACAGGAUUAGAAACCCCAGUAGUCC
rnacentral:rRNA from 1 species